CCUACGGGUGGCAGCAGUGGGGAAUAUUGCACAAUGGCGGAAACCCUGAUGCAGCGACGCCGCGUGAGUGAAGAAGUAUCUCGGUAUGGAAAGCUCUAUCAGCAGGGGAGAAAAUGACGGUACCUGAUUAAGAAGCCCCGGCUAACUACGUGCCAGCUGCCGCGGUAAUACGUAGGGGGCAAGCGUUAUCCGGAUUUAGUGGGUGUAAAGGGGGCGUAGACGGCAGGACAAGUCUGGAGUGAAAUGCCGGGGCUUAACCCCGGAACUGCUUUGGAAACUGUGAAGCUAGAGUGCAGGAGAGGUAAGUGGAAUGCGUAGUGUAGCGGUGAAAUGCGUAGAUAUCAGGAGGAACACCAGUGGCGAAGGCGGCUUACUGGACCGUAACUGACGUUGAGGCUCGAAAGCGUGGGGAGCAAACAGGAUUAGAUACCCGGGUAGUC
rnacentral:rRNA from 1 species